AUACAGAGGGGGCAAGCGUUAUUCGGGAAUUAUUGGGCGUAAAGGGCGCGUAGGCGGUGAUUUAAGUGAGAUGUGCAAUCCCCGGGCUUAACCUGGGAACUGCAUCUCAUACUGGGAUCGCUAGAGUGCUGGAGAGGGUGGUAGAAUUCCACGUGUAGCGGUGAAAUGCGUAGAGAUGUGGAGGAAUACCAGUGGCGAAGGCGGCCGCCUGGACAGUAACUGACGCUGAGGCGCGAAAGUGUGGGGAGC
rnacentral:rRNA from 1 species